rnacentral:tRNA from 1 species
UGGGUUGUAGCUCAGUGGUAGAGCGCUUGCCUAGCAUACAAGAGGCCCUGGGUUCAAUCCCCAGCCCUGCAA